rnacentral:rRNA from 1 species
AGUGAACGCUGGCGGCAGGCCUAACACAUGCAAGUCGAACGGGAGCACAGUAACGGCUUGCGCUUACUGGUGGCGGGUGGCGGACGGGGGAGAAAUACAUCGGAAUCUAUCCUUUCGUGGGGGAUAAGGUAGGGAAAGUUUGGUUAAUACCUUAUUUGCUGUAUGGCUGGAAUGGGGGGGGUUUGGGACAUUUUGCGGUUGAAUGGGCGGAUGUCGGUUUAGCUAGUUGUGGGGGUAAGGGCGCACCACGGCGACGAUCCGUAGCUGGUCUGAGAGGAUGGUCAGCCACACUGGAACUGAGACACGGUCCAGACUCCUACGGGAGGCAGCAGUGGGGAAUAUUGGACAAUGGGCGCAAGCCUGAUCCAGCCAUACCGCGUGGGUGAAGAAGGCCUUCGGGUUGUAAAGCCCUUUUGUUGGGAAAGAAAAGCAGCAGGUUAAUACCCCGCUGUUCUGACGGUACCCAAAGAAUAAGCACCGGCUAACUUCGUG